rnacentral:rRNA from 1 species
AUUGAACGCUGGCGGCAGGCCUAACACAUGCAAGUCGAGCGGAUGAAGGGAGCUUGCUCCUGGAUUCAGCGGCGGACGGGUGAGUAAUGCCUAGGAAUCUGCCUGGUAGUGGGUGAUAACGUCCGGAAACGGGCGCUAAUACCGCAUACGUCCUGAGGGAGAAAGUGGGGGAUCUUCGGACCUCACGCUAUCAGAUGAGCCUAGGUCGGAUUAGCUAGUUGGUGGGGUAAAGGCCUACCAAGGCGACGAUCCGUAACUGGUCUGAGAGGAUGAUCAGUCACACUGGAACUGAGACACGGUCCAGACUCCUACGGGAGGCAGCAGUGGGGGAUAUUGGACAAUGGGCGAAAGCCCGAUCCAGCCAUGCCGCGUGUGUGAAGAAGGUCUUCGGAUUGUAAAGCACUUUAAGUUGGGAGGAAGGGCAGUAAGUUAAUACCUUGCUGUUUUGACGUUACCAACAGAAUAAGCACCGGCUAACUUCGUG